CCUACGGGGGGCUGCAGUGGGGAAUUUUGGACAAUGGGGGCAACCCUGAUCCAGCCAUGCCGCGUGAGUGAAGAAGGCCUUCGGGUUGUAAAGCUCUUUCGGCCGGGAAGAAAUCGCUCAAGCUAAUACCUUGGGUGGAUGACGGUACCGGAAGAAGAAGCACCGGCUAACUACGUGCCAGCAGCCUCGGUAAUACGUAGGGUGGGAGCGUUAAUCGGAAUUACUGAGCCGGAACCAUACGCAGGCGGCGAAAUCCCCGGGCUUAACCUGGGAACUGCGUUUGUGACUGUGGUGCUCGAGUGCGGCAGAGGGUGGUGGAAUUCCACGUGUAGCAGUGAAAUGCGUAGAGAUGUGGAGGAACACCGAUGGCGAAGGCAGCCCCCUGGGUCGACACUGACGCUCAUGCACGAAAGCGUGGGGAGCAAACAGGAUUAGAUACCCGGGUAGUC
rnacentral:rRNA from 1 species